UAACGGAGACUCACCCUUGUCUUUAGACCAAACUAGCAGCUUCCUCUGAGUGAGUCCACCUACAGGAGAGAAAAGUGGAAGACGCCAACACUGCUGCUUCAAGCUGCUGACGCUCCACACACUGAAUCUUCACUCACAGACUCAAUGGCUUCCAGAUCAGAGAAGGACCUGUUUAUCAUUAACUUUUACAGCUUCUGGCAGGGUGAUGUCUGAACUUUGGAAUGAAACACACCUUGAGUUACAGGAACCUUGGUUGUUAUAACUCAGAAUCAAACUCAUCUCUAUCCCAAACUAACAGCUUCCUCUGAGUGAGUCCAACUACAGGAGAGAAAAGUGGAAGACGCCAACACUGCUGCUUCAAGCUGCUGACGCUCCACACACUGAAUCUUCACUCAGACUCAAUGGCUUCCAGAUCAGAGGAGGAUCUCUGCUGUCCGGUCUGUCAGCAGGUCUUCAGAGAUCCCGUUCUUCUGUCAUGCAGCCACAGCUUCUGUAAAGACUGUCUGAAGAGAUGGUGGAGAAAAAAACGGACACACGAGUGUCCAGUUUGUAAGAGAAGAUCUUCAAAGGAUGAUCCACCUUCAAAUCUGGCUUUAAAGAACUUGUGUGAGUCGUUUUUACAGG